AGUGGCGCACGGGUGCGUAACGCGUGGGAAUCUGCCCUUGGGUUCGGAAUAACAGUUGGAAACGACUGCUAAUACCGGAUGAUGACGUAAGUCCAAAGAUUUAUCGCCCAGGGAUGAGCCCGCGUAGGAUUAGCUAGUUGGUGAGGUAAAGGCUCACCAAGGCGACGAUCCUUAGCUGGUCUGAGAGGAUGAUCAGCCACACUGGGACUGAGACACGGCCCAGACUCC
rnacentral:rRNA from 1 species